rnacentral:rRNA from 1 species
UACAGAGGUCCCGAGCGUUGGUCGGAUUCACUGGGCGUAAAGGGUGCGUAGGUGGCUUGAAAAGUUUGAUGUGAAAGCUCAGGGCUUAACCCUGAAAUGGCAUUGAAAACUGUCGGGCUGGAGGUUUGGAGGGGGGACUGGAAUUCUUGGUGUAGCAGUGAAAUGCGUAGAUAUCAGGAGGAACACCAAUGGCGAAGGCAGCUCGCUGGAACGGUACUGACGCUGAGGCGCGAAAGCGUGGGGAGCAAACAGG